AGAGUUUGAUCAUGGCUCAGAAUCAACGCUGGCGGCGCGCUUAACACAUGCAAGUCGCACGAGAAAGCAGGAGCAAUCUUGUGAGUACAGUGGCGUACGGGUGAGUAACACGUGGAUCAUCUACCUUCUAGUGGGGCAUACCUCUGGGAAACCGGAGAUAAUUCCGCAUAAGCUCGUGAGAGGAAAGCGUCGUUGUCAAAGACGACGCGCUGGAAGAGGAGUCCGCGGCUGAUUAGCUAGAUGGCGGGGUAACGGCCCACCAUGGCGAAGAUCGGUAGCCGGCCUGAGAGGGCACACGGCCACACUGGCACUGAAACACGGGCCAGACUCCUACGGGAGGCAGCAGUGGGGAAUCUUGCACAAUGGAGGCAACUCUGAUGCAGCGACGCCGCGUGAGCGAUGAAGCCCUUCGGGGUGUAAAGCUCUUUCGACGGGAAAGAUGAUGACGGUACCCGGAGAAGAAGCUGCGGCUAACUACGUGCCAGCAGCCGCGGUAAUACGUAGGCAGCGAGCGUUGUUCGGAAUUACUGGGCGUAAAGAGUGUGUAGGCGGUGCUCCAAGUCUGGUGUGAAAUCUCCCGGCUUAACUGGGAGGGUGCGCCGGAAACUGGAGUGCUUCGAGGGUGGGAGAGGUAAGCGGAAUUCCUGGUGUAGCGGUGAAAUGCGUAGAUAUCAGGAGGAACACCUGUGGUGUAGACAGCUUACUGGACCACUUCUGACGCUGAGACACGAAAGCGUGGGUAGCAAACAGGAUUAGAUACCCUGGUAGUCCACGCCCUAAACCAUGCAUACUUGGGUGUGAGCGAUUCAUUUCGUUCGUGCCGGAGCUAACGCGUUAAGUAUGCCGCCUGGGGAGUACGGUCGCAAGGCUGAAACUCAAAGGAAUUGACGGGGCCCGCACAAGCGGUGGAGCAUGUGGUUCAUUCGACGCACGCGAGACCUUACCUGGGCUCGACGGCUUUGGGAUCAGGGUGGAAACAUCUCUUCUGA
rnacentral:rRNA from 1 species